CGGCCGGAUUCGCACAUCCAGAAAGAGCGGAGUGCCGCCAUCUUUUUUAUGGGCAAAGGCUCCUUCGAGGUUUGUGUUCGCCAAGUAGGCUUCUCAGAAAGCCCACUAGAGACGUUUGAAAGAGAGUGGGUUCCUUGCACACUGAAACGCUGAGGCAAGGCGUUGGGGGGGGGUCGUCGAGGUGGCAAUCCGUGAAACCAAGGAUAAGGAGUGGACUGCCCUGAGUAAAGGAUUCUCAGAGGGACCAGAAACUAGGUCCACAAGCUAGUGGAAGAGUAGAAAUGCUGGAUCCACAGGUUCUUGAUGGCAGCAAGCCCAGGCAGGAAGAAGAGCGAAGAAUGACACAACAACUGGAGGCAGUGUCUCUGACUUAAAGUGACCACAAGACCUUUUUUAAUUACCUAACAGAGAGCAGAGAACCAUGGAUCUCUCUGUGUUCUCAUUCAGGAGCAAGAGCCAUAUGGCACCCCGGGAAAAUGCGAGGCAAAGGAAGUCCUGCUUGUUCAGUAUCUUCAUACUUGAUUAUUACUAUUUAUCCAGCACUCAACAUGUCCAAAGUGCUUUAUAUUUUCAAAAUGACUCAUGGGGGUGGGUACAGCUACAGCUUCCGUUUGUUUAGGAAGAAACUGAAGCUCAGCAAGGUUGGAUCAUCUGCCUCCAGCUGCAGGGUUUCUGCCUCGAGUUCCUGCCCUGACUUCC